UACGUAGGGGGCGAGCGUUGUCCGGAUUUAUUGGGCGUAAAGAGCGUGUAGGCGGUUCGGUAAGUCUGUCGUGAAAUCCUGAGGCUCAACCUCGGACGUGCGAUGGAUACUGCCGGGCUAGAGGAUGGUAGAGGCGAGUGGAAUUCCCGGUGUAGCGGUGAAAUGCGCAGAUAUCAGGAGGAACGCCGGUGGCGAAGGCGGGUCUCUGGGCCGAUACUGACGCUGAGGAGCGAAAGCGUGGGGAGCGAACAGG
rnacentral:rRNA from 1 species